CCGCCGCAGUCCGCGUUGGGGCAGUUUCUGGUGUUGAUGGAGAGGGUGAAGAGGAGAUUCGUCGUCACGUUCAACGGCACUUGGAUUGGGUGGUUUUUGUAGGCGAGGCUGCGGAGUCGGGCGGUGAAGUUCACUGAUGCGGCCGUGUCGGUGAAAUCGGGGAGGGUUGGGAGCAGUGGGGACGCCGGCGGGGUGUAGUUUCCGGAGUACUCGACGCGGGCGCUGGUGGUGGUGUUGUCGAAAUCUCCGGCGACGGCGUAGGCUCUAGAGGCCAUGUAGUAGUGGCUAGGGUUUUGGUCGGCGAGGAGGAGGAAGUCGAUGGUUUGGCCCGGGGAGAUGGCGAUGUAGUCGGAGGUGAAGGGCUUCAGGUACGCGCCGUCGGAGCCGACGAUGGUGACGUUGUGGCCGGCGAUUUUGAAGAACAUGAUGGUGUUCAUCACGGCGUUAACCAUUCGAAUUAG
rnacentral:lncRNA from 1 species